GAUGAAUGCUAGCGGCAGGCUUAACACAUGCAAGUCGAGGGGUAACAGGGAGAAGCUUGCUUUUCCGCUGACGACCGGCGCACGGGUGCGUAACGCGUAUAGAACCUACCUUUUACAGGAGAAUACCCCAGAGAAAUUUGGAAUAAUGCUCCAUAGUAUUAUUGAGUGGCAUCAUUUGAUAAUUAAACAUUUAUGGGUAAAAGAUGGCUAUGCGUUCUAUUAGCUAGAUGCUAAGGUAACGGCUUACCAUGGCAACGAUAGAUAGGGGUCCUGAGAGGGAGAUCCCCCACACUGGUACUGAGACACGGACCAGACUCAUACGGGAGGCAGCAGUGAGGAAUAUUGGACAAUGGAGGCAACUCUGAUCCAGCCAUGCCGCGUGCAGGAAGACGGCCCUAUGGGUUGUAAACUGCUUUUAUAUAGGAAGAAACCUUUCCACGUGUGGAAAGCUGACGGUACUGUAUGAAUAAGCACCGGCUAACUCCGUGCCAGCAGCCGCGGUAAUACGGAGGGUGCAAGCGUUAUCCGGAAUCAUUGGGUUUAAAGGGUCCGUAGGCGGACUAAUAAGUCAGGGGUGAAAUACCACAGCUCAACUGUGGAACUGCCUUUGAUACUGUUAGUCUUGAGUUAUAUGGAAGUAGAUAGAAUGUGUAGUGUAGCGGUGAAAUGCUUAGAGAUUACACAGAAUACCGAUUGCGAAGGCAG
rnacentral:rRNA from 1 species